AUCUUUCUAGUACAAACGCUAGUACUAGUGACUUCCAAUCACUAAAUCUUGGUGCAAGUCCAAGGAAAGAUA
rnacentral:tRNA from 1 species